rnacentral:rRNA from 1 species
GAGCGCGAACGGAGCAAUCCUAGUAGAGCGGCGCACGGGUGCGUAACACGUGGGUAAUCUGCCUGAAAGUCUGGAACAACCUACCGAAAGGUUGGCUAAUGCCAGAUAAGCCGACAAAGUCUUCGGACUUCGACGGAAAAGAUGGCCUCUGUUUACAUGCUAUCGCUUUCAGAUGAGCCCGCGGCCCAUCAGCUAGUUGGCGGGGUAAUGGCCCACCAAGGCAACGACGGGUAGCUGGUCUGAGAGGACGAUCAGCCACACUGGAACUGAGACACGGUCCAGACUCCUGCGGGAGGCAGCAGUGGGGAAUUUUGCGCAAUGGGCGAAAGCCUGACGCAGCAACGCCGCGUGUGUGAUGAAGGUUUUCGGAUCGUAAAGCACUUUCGACCGGGAAGAAACCGCAUUGGCUAACAUCCAGUGCGCUGACGGUACCGGGAGAAGAAGCACCGGCUAACUCUGUG